UACGUAGGUGGCGAGCGUUGUCCGGAUUUACUGGGCGUAAAGAGCGCGCAGGCGGUCGUUCAAGUCGCGUGUGAAAGCCCCCGGCUCAACUGGGGAGGGUCACGCGAUACUGAUCGACUCGAAGGCAGGAGAGGGAAGUGGAAUUCCCGGUGUGAGUGGUGAAAUGCGUAGAUAUCGGGAGGAACACCAGUGGCGAAGGCGACUUCCUGGCCUGUUCUUGACGCUGAGGCGCGAAAGCUAGGGGAGCAAACGGGG
rnacentral:rRNA from 1 species